rnacentral:rRNA from 1 species
GACAGAGGGUGCAAACGUUGCUCGGAAUCACUGGGCGUAAGGGGCGUGUAGGCGGGCAGGUAAGUCGGGCGUGAAAUCCCUGAGCUCAACUCAGGAACUGCACUCGAAACUACUUGUCUUGAGUACCGGAGAGGAAAGCGGAAUACCUGGUGUAGAGGUGAAAUUCGUAGAUAUCAGGUGGAACACCAGUGGCGAAGGCGGCUUUCUGGACGGUAACUGACGCUGAGACGCGAAAGCGUGGGGAGCAAACAGG